rnacentral:rRNA from 1 species
UACGGAGGGGGCUAGCGUUGUUCGGAAUUACUGGGCGUAAAGCGCGCGUAGGCGGCUUUGCAAGUCAGAGGUGAAAGCCCGGGGCUCAACCCCGGAAUUGCCUUUGAGACUGCAUCGCUAGAACGUCGGAGAGGUAAGUGGAAUUCCGAGUGUAGAGGUGAAAUUCGUAGAUAUUCGGUAGAACACCAGUGGCGAAGGCGACUUACUGGACGACUGUUGACGCUGAGGUGCGAAAGCGUGGGGAGCAAACAGG